rnacentral:rRNA from 1 species
AUUGAACGCUGGCGGCAGGCCUAAUACAUGCAAGUCGAACGGUAACAUAAGAAAAGCUUGCUUUUCUUGAUGACGAGUGGCGGACGGGUGAGUAAUAUUUGGGAAACUACCUGACAGAGGGGGACAACAGUUGGAAACGACUGCUAAUACCGCAUACAGCCUCAGGGUGAAAGAAGCGAUUCGCUAUCAGAUGUGCCCAAACGGGAUUAGCUAGUAGGUGAGGUAAAGGCUCACCUAGGCGACGAUCUCUAGCUGGUCCGAGAGGAUGAUCAGCCACAUUGGGACUGAGACACGGCCCAGACUCCUACGGGAGGCAGCAGUAGGGAAUAUUGCACAAUGGAGGAAACUCUGAUGCAGCCAUGCCGCGUGUGUGAAGAAGGCCUUCGGGUUGUAAAGCACUUUCGGAGGGGAGGAAGAAAAUGACGUUACCCUCAGAAGAAGCACCGGCUAACUCCGUGCCAGCCGCCGCCGUAACAC